AUACGGAGGGUGCAAGCGUUACUCGGAAUCACUGGGCGUAAAGCGCGCGCAGGCGGGCUGAUAAGUUGGAUGUGAAAGCCUACGGCUCAACCGUAGAACUGCAUCCAAAACUGUCAGUCUAGAGUCUGGGAGGGGAAGAUGGAAUUAGUUGUGCAGGGGUAAAAUCCGUAGAGAUAACUAGGAAUACCAAAAGCGAAGGCGAUCUUCUGGAACAGUACUGACGCUGAGGCGCGAAAGCGUGGGGAGCAAACAGGAUUAGAAACCCCAGUAGUCC
rnacentral:rRNA from 1 species